GACGAACGCUGGCGGCGUGCUUAACACAUGCAAGUCGAACGGAAAGGCCCUGCUUUUGUGGGGUGCUCGAGUGGCGAACGGGUGAGUAACACGUGAGUAACCUGCCCUUGACUUUGGGAUAACUUCAGGAAACUGGGGCUAAUACCGGAUAGGAGCUCCUGCUGCAUGGUGGGGGUUGGAAAGUUUCGGCGGUUGGGGAUGGACUCGCGGCUUAUCAGCUUGUUGGUGGGGUAGUGGCUUACCAAGGCUUUGACGGGUAGCCGGCCUGAGAGGGUGACCGGCCACAUUGGGACUGAGAUACGGCCCAGACUCCUACGGGAGGCAGCAGUGGGGAAUAUUGCACAAUGGGCGGAAGCCUGAUGCAGCAACGCCGCGUGCGGGAUGACGGCCUUCGGGUUGUAAACCGCUUUCGCCUGUGACGAAGCGUGAGUGACGGUAAUGGGUAAAGAAGCACCGGCUAACUACGUGCCAGCAGCCGCGGUGAUACGUAGGGUGCGAGCGUUGUCCGGGUUUAUUGGGCGUAAAGGGCUCGUAGGUGGUUGAUCGCGUCGGAAGUGUAAUCUUGGGGCUUAACCCUGAGCGUGCUUUCGAUACGGGUUGACUUGAGGAAGGUAGGGGAGAAUGGAAUUCCUGGUGGAGCGGUGGAAUGCGCAGAUAUCAGGAGGAACACCAGUGGCGAGGGCGGUUCUCUGGGCCUUUCCUGACGCUGAGGAGCGAAAGCGUGGGGAGCGAACAGGCUUAGAUACCCUGGUAGUCCACGCUGUAAACGGUGGGUACUAGGUGUGGGGUCCAUUCCACGGGUUCCGUGCCGUAGCUAACGCUUUAAGUACCCCGCCUGGGGAGUACGGCCGCAAGGCUAAAACUCAAAGGAAUUGACGGGGCCCCGCACAAGCGGCGGAGCAUGCGGAUUAAUUCGAUGCAACGCGUAGAACCUUACCUGGGUUUGACAUGGAUCGGGAGUGCUCAGAGAUGGGUGUGCCUCUUUUGGGGUCGGUUCACAGGUGGUGCAUGGCUGUCGUCAGCUCGUGUCGUGAGAUGUUGGGUUAAGUCCCGCAACGAGCGCAACCCUUGUACACUGUUGCCAGCACGUUAUGGUGGGGACUCAGUGGAGACCGCCGGGGUCAACUCGGAGGAAGGUGGGGAUGACGUCAAGUCAUCAUGCCCCUUAUGUCCAGGGCUUCACGCAUGCUACAAUGGCUGGUACAGAGAGUGGCGAGCCUGUGAGGGUGAGCGAAUCUCGGAAAGCCGGUCUCAGUUCGGAUUGGGGUCUGCAACUCGACCUCAUGAAGUCGGAGUCGCUAGUAAUCGCAGAUCAGCAACGCUGCGGUGAAUACGUUCCCGGGGCU
rnacentral:rRNA from 1 species